AUCUUCGGCAAUGGACGAAAGUCUGACCGAGCGACGCCGCGUGUGGGAUGAAGGUCUUCGGAUUGUAAACCACUGUCGAGGGGGAUUAAGGGCAACUUGAAAGAACCCUGGAGGAAGGGGAGGCUAAGCUCGUGCCAGCAGCCGCGGUAAGACGAGCUCCCCAAACGUUAUUCGGUAUCACUGGGCUUAAAGAGUUCGUAGGCGGCGAAGUAGGUGAGGUGUGAAAGCCCUCGGCUCAACCGAGGAACUGCGCUUCAAACCGCUUUGCUAGAGGGAGAUAGGGGUAAGCGGAACAGAUGGUGGAGCGGUGAAAUGCAUUGAUAUCAUCUGGAACACCGGUGGCGAAAGCGGCUUACUGGGUCUUUUCUGACGCUGAGGAACGAAAGCUAGGGUAGCGAACGGGAUUAGAUACCCCGGUAGUCCUAGCCGUAAACGAUGAGCACUAGUCUGAGGGACUUUCACGGUUUCUCGGACGUAGCGAAAGUGUUAAGUGCUCCGCCUGGGGAGUAUGGUCGCAAGGCUGAAACUCAAAGGAA
rnacentral:rRNA from 1 species